CAGUCGCCGCGGGAAUACGAGGGGGGCAAGCGUUGUUCGGAUUUAUUGGGCGUAAAGGGUGCGUAGGCGGUUUGGCAAGUCUUGUGUGAAAUCUUCGGGCUCAACCCGAAGCCUGCACGAGAAACUACCGGGCUUGAGUAUUGGAGAGGUGAGUGGAAUUUCCGGUGUAGCGGUGAAAUGCGUAGAUAUCGGAAGGAACACCUGUGGCGAAAGCGGCUCACUGGACAAUAACUGACGCUGAUGCACGAAAGCUAGGGGAGCAAACAGGAUUAGAUACCCCCGUAGUCCCUGUCUCUUAUAC
rnacentral:rRNA from 1 species